GCUUUGAAGUAAGCCUAAAAGCGUUUAACUAGAAAUAGUAUUUCGAACGUUAUUAAGCACAAAAGAUGAAUUGCGUUUAUUUUGAUACACCCUGUAUAACUGCCCUAACACUGCCACAACCUCGUUCCCAGGCUCUUCCCUCUUGUUGCGCUUAAUUGCUCAUGCAAUCUGAAUCGUAUAUGAGUCUGUAAAAAAUAAUCGAAUACGUUUUCCAUGUAGUAUUUACUCUUGAAAGAAUGCAGUUUAAUGCAGAGAGUUCAAAUCGAUAGUCAGGUAACGCGACCACGGAAUGAAAACGUAUGACGCGCCCGUACAAUUCCUGACUACGAAUUUCGCGCGUCAGAUGAGGUGUGUGAUUAUUAUUAUUAGUUUAAUAAAAUCCAUUUUGCAGCUAAAGCUGAAUUGCAUGGAAAGGAUAUUUACAAUAUUAAAUAUUAAAAUUUACGUUAACAAAUGUUAUAUACUUAUUAUUAACUACC